rnacentral:rRNA from 1 species
GAUGAACGCUAGCGGGAGGCUUAACACAUGCAAGUCGAGGGGCAUCACGAGGUAGCAAUACUUUGGUGGCGACCGGCGCACGGGUGAGUAACACGUAUGCAACCUUCCCUGUACAGGGGGAUAACCCGGAGAAAUUCGGACUAAUACCCCAUGAUGAUAUUAUGGGGCAUCCUUUAAUAUUUAAAGCUCUGGCGGUACAGGAUGGGCAUGCGCGACAUUAGCUAGUUGGUAAGGUAACGGCUUACCAAGGCGACGAUGUUUAGGGGACCUGAGAGGGUUGUCCCCCACACUGGUACUGAGACACGGACCAGACUCCUACGGGAGGCAGCAGUGAGGAAUAUUGGUCAAUGGGCGGAAGCCUGAACCAGCCAUGCCGCGUGCAGGAUGACGGCCCUACGGGUUGUAAACUGCUUUUCCCCGGGGCGAAUAACCCCCCUCGCGAGGGGGGGAUGCCGGUACCGGGGGGAAUAAGGAUCGGCUAACUCCGUG